rnacentral:rRNA from 1 species
GACGAACGCUGGCGGCGUGCCUAAUACAUGCAAGUCGAGCGAAGCGGCGGAUGGGUGAGUAACGCGUGGGUAACCUGCCCUUAAGUCUGGGAUACCAUUUGGAAACAGAUGCUAAUACCGGAUACUAAAGGAUGGACCUGCGAUGCAUUAGCUAGUUGGUAAGGUAACGGCUUACCAAGGCGAUGAUGCAGAGGCGAGUUGGAUGAUUGGUGAGCCACAUGGGGACUGAGACAAGGAAGAAACUCCUACGGGAGGCAGCAGUAGGGAAUCUGCCACAAUGGACGAAAGUCUGAUGGAGCAACGGGGCGUGAGUCAAGAAGGUUGGCGGAUCUUAAAGCUCUGUUGUUGGUGAAGCGGUAUGCAACCAGAAAUUCACGGCUAACUACGUGCCAGCAGACGCGGUAAUGA